rnacentral:rRNA from 1 species
AUACGUAGGGGACGAGCGUUGUCCGGAAUUACUGGGCGUAAAGGGCGCGCAGGCGGAUAUUUAAGUCAGCUGUAAAAGGCAUGAGCUCAACUCAUGUAUGCGGUUGAAACUGGGUAUCUAGAGUGCUGGAGAGGUAGGCGGAAUUCCCGGUGUAGCGGUGAAAUGCGUAGAUAUCGGGAAGAACACCAGUGGCGAAGGCGGGUUACUGGCCAGCAACUGACGCUGAAGCGCGAAAGCCAGGGGAGCAAACGGGAUUAGAGACCCCGGUAGUCCUGGCAGUAAACGAUGUAUGCUGGGUGUGGGAGUAGCGAUACCUCCGUGCCGAAGUUAACGCGAUAAGCAUACCGCCUGGGGAGUACGGUCGCAAGAUUGAAACUCAAAGGAAUUGGCGGGG